AUUGAACGCUGGCGGCAUGCCUUACACAUGCAAGUCGAACGGUAACAGGUCUUCGGAUGCUGACGAGUGGCGAACGGGUGAGUAAUACAUCGGAACGUGCCUAGUAGUGGGGGAUAACUACUCGAAAGAGUGGCUAAUACCGCAUGAGAUCUACGGAUGAAAGCAGGGGAUCGCAAGACCUUGUGCUACUAGAGCGGCCGAUGGCAGAUUAGGUAGUUGGUGGGAUAAAAGCUUACCAAGCCGACGGUCUGUAGCUGGGCUGAGAGGACGAUCAGCCACACUGGGACUGAGACACGGCCCAGACUCCUACGGGAGGCAGCAGUGGGGAAUUUUGGACAAUGGGCGCAAGCCUGAUCCAGCAAUGCCGCGUGCAGGAUGAAGUCCUUCGGGUUGUAAACUGCUUUUGUACGGAACGAAAAGCCCCGGGUUAAUACCCUGGGGUCAUGACGGUACCGUAAGAAUAAGCACCGGCUAACUACGUGCCAGCAGCCGCCGCCG
rnacentral:rRNA from 1 species